CUGCCUCACAACAGAAUGUCACAAUACAACAUGAUGUCCUGAUACAUCACAAUGGCUCAGUGUCACCAAGAGAUGUGAGCUCACCCAUUUCUCUUGCAACACCCUGGAAGAAAAGGAGCACAUUUACCUAUCAGACAGAGAAAUGGAGGAGAGCCUGCCGCACGGGAUGGAAUUGCUAAAUGGGCAUCACAAAGUUGGGGUGUUGUGCUCCUUCUCCCUGGGCUGACUUCCCUCCGACGGAUGGGGCGAGGAAGCCAAGGAAGAGGCCGCAGAGCCAUUGAUGUCCAAGUCAGUCGGUGGCUGGAAAGAGAAAGGAGACUUCAUAAAAAAGUUUUCUGCUG